rnacentral:rRNA from 1 species
UACGUAGGGGGGCUAGCGUUGUCCGGAAUCAUUGGGCGUAAAGAGCGUGUAGGCGGCCCGGUAAGUCCGCUGUGAAAGUCGGGGGCUCAACCCUCGAAUGCCGGUGGAUACUGUCGGGCUAGAGUGCGGAAGAGGCGAGUGGAAUUCCUGGUGUAGCGGUGAAAUGCGCAGAUAUCAGGAGGAACACCGAUUGCGAAGGCAGCUCGCUGGAACGUUACUGACGCUGAGACGCGAAAGCGUGGGGAGCAAACAGG